UUCGUUUGCUCUUUAAAAAAUUCAAUGCCAUCAUAAUUUAUACAAUCAAAAUUUUCCUUGACAAAAAUUCUCGUUAACGAGCACAAACCUAACCUAAAAAUCUACAUCAUUUUUUCUAGUUAUCUCCAACAAGCUUGAAACGAAAAAGUAUGUUCAAAAGAAAAAAAAGACGGAGAAAAAUGAAGAAAAAGAAAGGAAACUGGCAAGCUAAUUUUACGUGGAUCGUGUUUCCACGAUGGUACACAGGAACGCCCUCAGAGAAUAAAUGAAAGAGCAGAAACGAUGGAUUACCCUCUUGGAUGCAAUUGAUCACGAAGACAAUGGAUUCCUGUAUUUGUGACAACAUCGUCGGUCUCAGGUUUGGAUAUCGACGGCAGGUGAAAGCAAGGCAGAAUAUACAUUCCUCCACGGUGUCCAGCCUCUAGUAGUGCUUUUUCCGUGUAAUUACUUUAAUAAUUCGUAUCGACUUCCACUGGGAACUCCUUUCGCUGGACACGCAAGUUGGCUCGUUUCUUGGUCUCUAUAUUUGCUAAGUAUACACAACUAUCGAUUGAACGUGGAAUUUAGGACAACUUCGUUUACUUUUCCUUACCGGAUAUUUGUUGGAAGAUCGCAUUUAUAAUUACGUGUAAUUAGAAUCUUGUGUGAUGAACUUCCAUUUUCUUCGUUACCUUGCUUGAAGCAGAAAAAGAAGAACACAAUUUGUCGCUACUCCAGGGAAACACUAAGGGAAGUAAUGAAAUUAUAGAGGAUUCUCGCCGGAUGGCAAACAUGACCGAGAAAUUCUCGAAAGACUUGGCUCGAUCAUUUUCAGAAACCAUUUAUUGGCUCAAAGAUAUUAUUACAAGAAAAAAUAACCCUGUUUAUUUUUUAUUUUUAAAUUUAAUUGUUCUUUAAUGCAAUGUCGAGCAAUCGUUGUAAUUAUCCUAACCUCAAAAAUAUCCAUAAAUUUCCUACAUAUAUUUUCUAUCUCAAUUAAAAUGCACUAAAUGUAACAAUUCGCCAAGAAUCUUAGUUUAAUUUAAGUAAUAUCGUAGCGUGAAGUUAACGAAACAUAAAAAUGUUAAUCUCUUCAAUUAGAAUUACGGAGAUUGCUCGAGUAAUAAUUAUGUUAUUGUUUUGUAUUAUUACAUGCCAUCUCUAUCGAUGAAUUGUAAUCGAUGUGUUCUCUCGAAGAUUAUCCUUGCAUAUCAACUCGUUUUAAACGAUUAAAAUUAAAAUUGAUAAAUGUCUUAAGUGAAGCGUAUUGCACAGAUUUAUCGCUUUACGAACGGAAGCGACAAUUAAGAUUAAUUAUCCUUUAUGGUAGGCUCGUAAUAAUACGUCUUCAUAAAAAUAUUUAUUUAGUCUACUUCUACCUCUAUUAUUAUUUAAAAAAAAAAGUGAUUUAAUUGUUUUUGCAUUUGAUUUAUCUAACCUCAAAGAAUUAUUAUUCUAUUAUAUUUCCAUUAAUCUUUGCAUUAAAAUAUGUGCAAAACAUGCUUUAAUUCUUUUAAAAGAACAAAACUGAAAGAACAAAAUGAGUCACGGUGAAAGAUACUUUCUAAAACUGAUUCUCACAUCUAAAAUUUUUACACUGUUUUUAACUCGCAUUAUUAUUUAUAUAAAAACAAAAUCUACCAUAUCUUAGAAUUUCUAUUCCAAAAAGAAAAAAACUGGAACAUUCUUUUUGUACAUUUUUCAAUCUAACAAAGUGAGCAGCAGAUUGUCUGUUAAUUAAACAAAAAAAAAAAUCGUUAAAGAUAAACAAAUAUUACAGUUUCCAAGAUAUUACGUUAGAAUAAUCGGAAAGGGGAAAAAAAAAAGAAAAAAGAAGAAAUAUCGAGCGAGCAAGAUUUGCCUUCUCAAUUUUUCAAAACGCGUCCAGUUUCCAUCGCGCGAAUAACGUAGGCGUAUAUUUGUUAAAUGGUGAAAAAGAGACGUUCCACUUUUGCCUCGUCUUUUUUCCACUAUUGAAACACGAUGUAUCGGGGGAACGGGGUUACCACGAUCGUUGUUUCUUCCCUAUCGUAGGUGUGGAAGAUGGAACGUAGACAGAUGAGCGCAGAGAAGGAAUCGGGAAGAGAGGA